rnacentral:lncRNA from 1 species
AUUAGAUUCGGUUCCGCUCUUGUGUUGCAGAUGCAUGAUAAGGCUGUGAAACUAAAACUAUAUGCUGAGACGGCUGUGAAUAGUUUUCUGAAGAAAACAGGGGAAGGUGCUCAGUAAAGAGCAUAUCAAUUGACAUAGCUUUAGCUACUACGCUACCUUUAUCUAAGUCGAUAUAAGUUUUGUUGUCUUUUUACAAAGUUCAUGAUUGACCGCAUCUUAGGUUUUACAGACAAAAGCUCAUGAUAGUUCGCAAGUAUGUAAUGCGUGUUAUUGUUAUGCUUGUGCAGAUAUCAAAUUAAGUCUAACAUAAGAUAACAAAAAAAAAAAAGAGAUGAGAAAUCAGAAGAGGAAGACGAUAGAGGAGAGUGAGAGUUUAAAUACUUUUUGAUUUAUUGUUUUCAUACCUUUUCCACACUUAGGUUUGAUACUUAAAAGACAUACUGAAAUAUAAAACAACAACACUUUAUUUAAAGUACGGAGCACUAGUAGAGACUCUCCCUCGAGCAGAGUCUUCACUUCUUUUCCAUAUUUCUUAGCCACUUUGAACAGAUCCAGCCUUCCUUGCAAAGCUUGGGUCGUCUAUGAUCGAAGCCCAUCUUUGGCAAACUAGUCGAAAGCUUCUAAGAUCAUCCACAGUCGACUUCUGGAAAAUCUUUACCAACAUGGACGUAGAAAUAUCUUUCAUCUUAUUUUAUCUUUUUUUGAAUUGUUG